rnacentral:rRNA from 1 species
AGAACGAACGCUGGCGGCAUGCCUAAUACAUGCAAGUCGAACGAAGGCUUCGGCCUUAGUGGCGCACGGGUGCGUAACGCGUGGGAAUCUGCCCCUUGGUUCGGAAUAACAGUUGGAAACGACUGCUAAUACCGGAUGAUGACGAAAGUCCAAAGAUUUAUCGCCAAGGGAUGAGCCCGCGUAGGAUUAGCUAGUUGGUGAGGUAAAGGCUCACCAAGGCGACGAUCCUUAGCUGGUCUGAGAGGAUGAUCAGCCACACUGGGACUGAGACACGGCCCAGACUCCUACGGGAGCAGCAGUAGGGAAUAUUGGACAAUGGGCGAAAGCCUAGAUCCAGCAAUGCCGCGUGAGUGAUGAAGGCCUUAGGUUGUAAAGCUCUUUACCCGAGAUGAUAAUGACAGUAUCGGAGAAUAAGCCCCGGACUAACUCCGUGCCAGCAGCCGC